rnacentral:rRNA from 1 species
UACGGAGGGGACUAGCGUUGUUCGGAAUUACUGGGUGUAAAGCGCACGUAGGCGGAUUGUUAAGUCAGGGGGUGAAAUCCCGAGGCUCAACCUCGGAACUGCCUUUUGAUACUGGCAAUCUCGAGUCCGGAAGAGGUGAGUGGAAUUCCUAGUGUAGAGGUGAAAAUUCGUAGAUAUUAGGAAGAACACCAGUGGCGAAGGCGGCUCACUGGUCCGGUACUGACGCUGAGGUGCGAAAGCGUGGGGAGCAAACAGG